UACAGAGGUCCCGAGCGUUGUUUGGAUUCAUUGGGCGUAAAGGGUGCGUAGGCGGCGGGGAAAGUCUGAUGUGAAAUCCUGGGGCUCAACCCUGGAACUGCAUUGGAUACUUCCUUGCUAGAGUACUGGAGAGGAAACUGGAAUUUACGGUGUAGCAGUGAAAUGCGUAGAGAUCGUAAGGAAGACCAGUGGCGAAGGCGAGUUUCUGGACAGUUACUGACGCUGAGGCACGAAGGCCAGGGGAGCAAACGGG
rnacentral:rRNA from 1 species